UUCUCGUUAGCGUAGUUGGUAGAGCACUCCAUUGGAGAUGGAGAGGUCCCUGGCUCGACACCAGGACCAGACG
rfam:Ixodes scapularis strain Wikel colony gcontig_1107728887772, whole genome shotgun sequence.